GGGGAUGUAGCUCAGUGGUAGAGCACUUGGCCUGGGAUCCACAAGGUCCUGGGUUUGAUCCCCAGCCCUG
rnacentral:tRNA from 1 species